rnacentral:rRNA from 1 species
ACGACUGCUAAGACUGGAUAGGAGACAAGAAGGCAUCUUCUUGUUUUUAAAAGACCUAGCAAUAGGUAUGCUUAGGGAGGAGCUUGCGUCACAUUAGUUAGUUGGUGGGGUAAAGGCCUACCAAGACUAUGAUGUGUAGCCGGGCUGAGAGGUUGAACGGCCACAUUGGGACUGAGACACGGCCCAAACUCCUACGGGAGGCAGCAGUAGGGAAUUUUCGGCAAUGGAGGAAACUCUGACCGAGCAACGCCGCGUGAACGAUGAAGUAUUUCGGUACGUAAAGUUCUUUUAUUAGGGAAGAAUAAAUGAUGGAAAAAUCAUUCUGACGGUACCUAAUGAAUAAGCCCCGGCUAACUAUGUGCCAGCAGCCGCGGUAAUACAUAGGGGGCAAGCGUUAUCCGGAAUUAUUGGGCGUAAAGGGUGCGUAGGCGGUUAAAUAAGUUUAUGGUCUAAGUGCAAUGCUCAACAUUGUGAUGCUAUAAAAACUGUUUAGCUAGAGUAAGAUAGAGGCAAGUGGAAUUCCAUGUGUAGUGGUAAAAUGCGUAAAUAUAUGGAGGAACACCAGUAGCGAAGGCGGCUUGCUGGGUCUUUACUGACGCUGAGGCACGAAAGCGUGGGGAGCAAACAGAAUUAGAUACCCUGUUAUUCCACGCCGUAAACGAGGAGUACUAAACGUUGGGUAAAACCAGUGUUGAAGUUAACACAUUAAGUACUCCGCCUGAGUAGUACGUACGCAAGUAUGAAACUUAAAGGAAUUGACGGGACUCCGCACAAGCGGUGGAUCAUGUUGUUUAAUUCGAAGGUACCCGAAAAACCUCACCAGGUCUUGACAUGCUUCUGCAAAGCUGUAGAAACACAGUGGAGGUUAUCAGUUGCACAGGUGGUGCAUGGUUGUCGUCAGCUCGUGUCGUGAGAUGUUGGGUUAAGUCCCGCAACGAGCGCAACCCUUAUUGUUAGUUACCAGCACGUAAUGGUGGGGACUUUAGCAAGACUGCCAGUGAUAAAUUGGAGGAAGGUGGGGACGACGUCAAAUCAUCAUGCCCCUUAUGACCUGGGCUACAAACGUGAUACAAUGGCUGUUACAAAGGGUAGCUGAAGCGCAAGUUUUUGGCGAAUCUCAAAAAAACAGUCUCAGUUCGGAUUGAAGUCUGCAACUCGACUUCAUGAAGUUGGAAUCGCUAGUAGUCGCGAAUCAGCAUGUCGCGGUGAAUACGUUCACGGGGUUUGUACACACCGCCCGUCA